rnacentral:rRNA from 1 species
UACGAAGGGGGCUAGCGUUGUUCGGAAUUACUGGGCGUAAAGCGCACGUAGGCGGAUAUUUAAGUCAGGGGUGAAAUCCCGGGGCUCAACCCCGGAACUGCCUUUGAUACUGGGUAUCUCGAGUCCGAGAGAGGUGAGUGGAAUUCCGAGUGCAGAGGUGAAAUUCGUAGAUAUUCGGAGGAACACCAGUGGCGAAGGCGGCUCACUGGCUCGGUACUGACGCUGAGGUGCGAAAGCGUGGGGAGCAAACAGG